rnacentral:tRNA from 1 species
CCUUCGAUAGCUCAGUUGGUAGAGCGGAGGACUGUAGUAGGAUUGUGAUGGCUAUCCUUAGGUCGCUGGUUCGAAUCCGGCUCGAAGGA